AGCUGGCCAUAGCUAUAAAAAACAUCUUUGGGGUAACAAUAGAUUCACAUCUGUUUUGCAGGUGUAUUUUACAAACCUUUAAGGAGCCAGUUCUGCGAGAACAACUCAACACACCGAGUGGUGACUUACAACUACAGCCUGGGUGAAUGGUCUAACGUUGGCCCUGGGAUACUCCUAGGCGUCCUGAGAGGUCCUUGAAGCACAUACCUCUGCGAGGGAACCUGAGUCCAGAAGAGAAGAGCUGUGACAAAGGAGCGAGCCGAAGGCAGUCUCCCCAGCCCAGCACCCUCGGACAAGCAAUGACUGCAGGCGGGUGUUCCAGAGCAAGAGAAUAAGCUUUCCAUGAAAAAAAAGUCUCUUGCUGUGUGUCUGCACAGCACGCUUCACAAUGAGGUCCACAGCAGCUGGGAUCUUUCAGUGCAGCAGAAAAAAUCAGCAUCCCUGCAUUUGAAGAAGUGAGCGGGCAGGUGCUCCAGCGAAAAUGUGAAAAACUCCAUGGCUGAUGAGCAUUAAGUGUCCUUAUUUCCAGGCAUCAG
rnacentral:lncRNA from 1 species